CAUGUAUGGAUUUAAAUACACGUAUUCUGCCACAGCGGAGCCACAGCCGUGCUCGUAGUCUCGCGUGAGUUUAUGCUGUUAUCACGAGAGUUCGCCAGUGGAGCCCGUGGCUGCGUUGAACAGCCACAGGUCGUAUCGCCCGUCCGGAUUUUUUUUUUACACUGCUAACUACACACCUAUGCUUACAUCCACACGGACUCAACCAAGUGGAAACUCUUUGGACAUUCUGCACCUGGGAACCCGUCAACCUCGCCUGGCCACGGGGACGCCUCCACCCCACCACCUCACCUGGACUCGCCAUUCUACACGUUUGGACUACUCCUGCACAUUAUCAAUAAAGACUCAUUCUCACCUGAACCCAUCUGGUCUUGUCUGCGUUUGGGUUCCAUCAGAAGGACGUGACACGAACACACGGCACACGUUGGCGUCACCGUGGGCAAUCAUGGCAAAGACCCAAGUCGACUCGACCACAGCGGAAAAUCCUUCCAGAGAAGAAGAAGUUAUUUACUUCUACAAUGAAUGGAAGAGUUACAACUUCCAGAUGACAGCUCUCCGCUUAUCCUUCUGGGCAACUUGAACAUCCGACAGAACUUAUGUGACCUACUGCGUUUAUUUUCUUCUUUAGCUCUGGUUUCAGUAUUAAUAUUCCCUGUAUUUUUGCAAGAGAGGCACCAAUCCAAUUUUAGUGACGUUUCAAAUAUGAAAUUGUAUUUGAGCAGAUAGCUCAUCUGCAGAGCGUUGGCCCCUGGUGCAGGAGAUGAGGGUUUGAUUCCUGACAUGGCAAUACUUUUUUUUUUACCUCUAUUUAGGUUUUGUACUUUGUACAUCGCCCCAACUUAUUUAAUAAGACUCCUCAUUUGACUUAAAAUGUGUUUAAUGAAUCCAGGAUGUAAUAUUUGUUCAGUAUGCAGGGGUAGUGAUUUAAUUUGUCAUGUUUUACAUAUUGUUUUUUUUUACAUGAGAAUAUGGUUUGGUACAUGCUGAGUUAAUGAAUAUACAUUCUAAAGUGCAAUGUCCAUAUGUGAAUAAGAGUUGUAUACGUUUAUGAUAGUCAAUAUGGUGUGGAAAUAUCCCUUAUGUAGUUGGUCAAUUGGAACUAUAUUAGGCAGUAAUAACAGCUAAGGUAAUUACAGGUGGAUAUUUCUGGGAAUUAACCUUGAUUGAGACUGCAUCUAUAAGAUAUACAGGUCAAGAAAAAUGCACUGGAUGUAAAUUGUAUAUGUGUUGAAUCAAUUAUACGGACGCAAUCUGGAGAACGAGACAAGUGUUGCUGUGAUUCUUGCGCUUCAGACUCUACCUUUAUUUUACAGGAAUACAUCUUUUUGUUAUUGUGGUCAUCGUGCCCGAGACCCGUAACAAUUAAUCUGCAAUCUCCAUCAACUGUCUCUGCUACAUUUCAUUUUCUUUUUGCAGCUCUUUUGCAGCUCGGCAACAGCCUAGUGUUGGUGGAUUCCGUUUAUGAAACCACAGACUCAGGAUUGAAUACCAGCCCCGAGAGUGAUUUAUUUUGUCUCUUUAGUCUCUUUUUGACCCGCGAGUCCGGCUGACCGCAGAGAUCAGUCUAGAGCUAGACUGAAAAAAGGGGGAAAUGGGGGUUGUUCACUUUACAAAUGAACAGUUCGUAUACAUAACACAAUUCAUUUAUGUUCCUCCUCAGAACAUAUGUAAAUCGUGUAGAAUUCUUAAUUUUUAAGUUUCAGUCAUGUUAUGAAGAAAGGAAGUUGUUAUGUUUCGUCUGGAAACUCCGCCCAUUAGGAGCAGGUUUUUGACGAAAACGUUGUGCGCCAUUUUUUUUUAAUCUGCCAGUAUAACAUCGAGCCGGAAUUAGUCAAUGUCAAAACUAGCUAACGUUACCACUUGCUAGCUAAUGCACUAGCUACAACAUUUGGAGAGCUCUCCACAAGGUAAAGGCAAUUAAAUAUUGUAAAAUGUCAGACAGAGUUAAAGGUUGUCCUGUUAGACGCAUUGUUUUCACUGAGCAGAGGUUUUUAAGGCGCAGCAAAAACGAGCAACAUGGAUAGUCAAUGGUAAUGCUAAUGUUGCUACUCGCUAGCGUUGGCUAACGUUAUGCUAAAGAUAGUCCUGUUAGACGCAUUAUUUUCGUCGAGCAGAGGUUUUUAUAGACCAGUAAAAACGAGCAAUCUAAGGUUAGCUGAUGUUGCUACUCGCGUUAUUCUAGCGAGGGCAACUUUCAUCUUAAGUGUAACUAGGGUUGCCAACUCUCCCAACCCCAAAUCAUGGAUCAUCUAAAUCAAGCUUAGUAAAAGGUAAUUUUAAACUGCUUGGUUAAAUCAGCAUGGUGCAGGUGCCACUUAUUUACAUUAUAUAGACAUUCCUCAAACAUCCUCAUCUCCAUAGGUCCAUGUAUAGGAGGUGCAUUACUCUGAUUAGAGCAAUUCUUACCAUGUCCUUAUUACUGAUGUUAACUGUUUAAUAAUUAUUUUCAACAUUUUUUGUGUUGGAAUUAAAACUUUGAUACCCUUUGCUGCUGAGGUAAAUAAAGGCCCAGGCCAUUAUUUGAGGAAAACUUAUCAGUUAACACAGAUACUCAUUAAAUAGUAUGAUGUUUUAAGGGCAUGAUAGAUUUAAGGUUUUAAGUGUUUUUAUUUUCUCUCAUAUGGCUCUUUUUGUGAAUGUGCACUCUGCAGGCAGAAGACGAAGACCUGAACCAAGGAGCCAUUGAGGAGACCACGCUGGGAAUAUGUGUUGGGAAACACACAGAUGCCACUGAUGGACCAGAGGACAUUGGGAUUGUCCUGGAGGGCCAGGUGGCACUGCAUGAAUUGGAUAAUGUUGCCUUAGCUGCUGCCAUGUUGUUUGGCCUAAUGUAUGCCUUGAACCUCAACUACCCUCCUGAACUUAAGUACUCGUUCGAAGUGCUCCAGAAGGUUGUGAUGGAGCUGGACGGCAACACACUGUCAAAGAAAGCCCAGGCUCUCAAAAACAGACUCAAUCAGUGAACUGUUGCCAUUUAAUGGCAAGAUGGAUACAACAGUUUCGCCAUCUUCUUUUGGAAUAUGGACCAUUGCUGCUUUUUUCAGUAGGAUUGUUGGAACCAGUCACCUGCAUGUUCUGUGAUGGGUGAUGAUCAGACAGCGUUACAGCACGCACAGUGCUUUUUUAUAGCAAGUGUAGUGUAUUUUUUUUGUUCUUUUUUCUCAGGGUCAUGUGCCUUUUUCAUUUAAGUGUCAGCAUUUGUCAGAUGUGUUGAAUAGAGCUCCAACAGUUUACUCUAGCCAUUACUCUUAAUUGUAUUACUUUAUUUUCAAAACACUCGCAGUUAAAGGAGAAAAUUCAGUUUUCAAGCACAAAAUCUACAUUUGCCUGGACAAUAAUGGUUCUUUCAUGUGUCCUUUUAUUUUGUUAAGAAAUUGUACAUGUAAUAAAUGUUUUUUGCACAUAUUUUGUGCUGCAUAGUAUUCUCUUGACGCUGGUUUGAUGUAAUUCAGAAGGUGUUUUAAGGACCAACAAUGUUGCUUCAGGUUGUAGCGGUCAUAAACGUUUACUACACACUCUUGAUAACUUGCGUACCAAGUGUUUCUUGUGAAAGGAAAAGGUGCUUUGAUCUAAUAUGAGAUUUGUUUGUGAAUGUGUGCAUGUGUUUGUGAAUACAUUACACUGAACCUUUUAUUUUUCUAUGACAAUACAGUUGUAAAUGAAAUGUUUUUGUUUUGCCUUAUUUAUUUUGAAAAUGUUAAAGGAGUAAAUCCUUUAGGUAAGAUUAGUAGAAAUCGCCAUACAGAAAUAAUUUUAGCAUGUAGAAUUUAUACAGAAAAGUAUGCAGGAUCUUCAUGAGUAACUUGAGCAGGAAAAGUUAAUUUAACAGAACAACAUUGCAUAUACUUUACAUAAAAAUCUCAUGUUGCUUCAAUAGAUGAGAAUUGAAUACACUUAAA